GGUCUAUCUAUUAGGCCAUGGUAUAAAGGUGCCUAGUAGGUCGGACUGUCUUCCUCUCUGUCUCUCGCUCGGUUUGUCCCUGGGUUUCACGCAGGAGCCAAUCGCCAGCUAUGCGUCUCCCUUACUCUGCCGUGGCUGUAUGGAACCUGACCUGUCUAGCAUUAGAUAACUCUCCCCUGCAGGCCUGUGGGUUAUCUUCGGCGGGGGGUAGCUGGUACCUGGUGGCGGGCUUGUGAACUUCACUUUGGAGUGUACUAUGGAAUAUCGGUGGUGGCUUGCUGUGACAAUGGUGUAACACUUUUCUGCUGUGAGAGUGCAUGUGUGGACACCUUCCUUGAUAGUCUGCUUCCCCCCAUCCAGGUAAGCCCCGCCUGCCAGUAUAAUUUUCUGUUUUAUUUUGGUGUGUGCAACAUUCCCAGCUGAUGUGUUAG